AUUGAACGCUGGCGGCAGGCCUAACACAUGCAAGUCGAGCGGAGCGGCGGACGGGUGAGUAAUUCAUAGGAAUCUGCCUGGUAGUGGGGGAUAACGUCCGGAAACGGGCGCUAAUACCGCAUACUAUCAGAUGAGCCUAGGUCGGAUUAGCUAGUUGGUGGGGUAAAGGCCUACCAAGGCGACGAUCCGUAACUGGUCUGAGAGGAUGAUCAGUAACACUGGAACUGAGCAACGGUCCAGACUCCUACGUGAGGCCGCAGGGGGGAUGAUUGGAUAAUGGGCGAAAGCCUGAUCCAGCCAUGCCGCGUGUGUGAAGAAGGUCGUCGGAUUGUAAAGCACUGUAAGUUGGGAGGCGUUACCAACAGAAGAAGCACCGGCUAACUUCGUGCCAGCAGCCGCGGUAAUAC
rnacentral:rRNA from 1 species